AGUGAAGAGAGGUCAGCAGCCUCAGCCCUGCCUGGCAGGAUGGAGGCUGUCCUCAGCCUGAGCAGAACUGAUUUACCAGUUUAUUAGAGAAGGGUGGCUUUUUGGGUGUGGGGAUUUUUAUUCUUGGCCUCUGGAUUCACAGACCUGAGACUGAAUCCAGGAUCUGUCACACUGACUAGCAAUGCACCCUUGGAUGCAGACGCACCUGAUAACUGAAAAAGGAUACAGAGAGCAGAACUGGAACUAGAGGGAACUAGACAUCUCUCUGAAGAACAGAGUGGACCAAAUGCUUCGGCUUGAAUUUCCGAUGCUCCACAAAGGCCGAGCUGAAGGCCGCACCCCCAGGAACGUGGGAAAGAAGUGAGAGAGAAGCAGAAGGAGGCACCGUCCUGGUGAGGAUGAGCCCUGAUGUCCAGCUCCCCUCCGCUCCCAGGGUCCGCAGGGAGGCAGCCGCAGCCAGCUUUGGUCAUAUGGGAUGGAUGCCUCUCAGCCAAGCUGCCUGGGAAGCCAGGUUCCUGAAGUCCAACUGUAUUUCUUCCUUCUCCAUAAGGUGGCCUGGGUUGGGGACAUUGAGUCUCUCGCUUCCUUGGAGAGCUGCAUAAAUCUGAGAGGUCUUUGUGCCAGCAGGGGCGUGGGACUAGGGUGCAGUCCAAUUCUAUUGAGAGACUGAGAGGCUCUUGUGUCUUCUGCCUUUCGAAACAGUCCACAGGAUA